AUUAUAUUGUAUAGUUGGAUGUGUGUAUAUAUCAUGUAAAACUGUAACUGGAGCGUGUAACAAAAGUAAUUUCCCUCUGGGAUUAUUAAAGUAUUUCUGAUUCUGAUUUACCUUUUUUAGGUGGCCAUGUUUUGCUGUUUCUGUGGACAAAAUCUAGGAACAAUUCAAGUUUUCUGUUUUUCAUGUGGGAAGAAUGUGCAGAUCUUGGCACAAGCUCAAGACACUGCUUGAGCGUUGCCAGCCAUAUGUAUGGCUCCUCAACAGCCAACCAACGCAUCGAAAGCUGGUGGUCAUAUUUCAGAAAACAAAGAUCUCAGUUCUGGAUGGAUCUCAUGAACGAUUUGAAGGAAAGACAUCUCUUCAAUGGAAGUCAUGAGCACACAUGCCUUGUUUGGUGGAACAGACUGUGGUUUCCUAGUUUCCCAGGAGCCAUUCGGACAGUUUGUGACAGAGACUAACAACAUUCAAUGUGGAGAUGAACACCUUCAGGCACAUUUUGAGAACCUCCAGAGACAGUGUGGCCUAGCACAUCCACAGAGUUGGGAAUCAUGUGUCGAAAACUAUAUCAAACUGAAAAACAUGGUGGACUUAUAAACAAACAAGAAUCCAAAUUUGAAGGUCGCACACAAACAGUAAACAGUG